rnacentral:rRNA from 1 species
GACGAACGCUGGCGGCGUGCCUAACACAUGCAAGUCGAGCGAGGGACUUCGGUCCCUAGCGGCGGACGGGUGAGUAACACGUGGGUAACCUGCCUCAUAGUGGGGGAUAGCCUUCCGACAGGAAGAUUAAUACCGCAUAUACUCUCGGUAUCGCAUGAUACUUAGAGGAAAGGAGCAAUCCGCUAUGAGAUGGACCCGCGGCGCAUUCGCUAGUUGGUGAGGUAACGGCUCACCAAGGCCACGAUGCGUAGCCGACCUGAGAGGGUGAUCGGCCACAUUGGAGCUGAGACACGGUCCGGACUCCUACGGGAGGCAGCAGUGGGGGAUAUUGCACAAUGGGCGAAAGCCUGAUGCAGCAACGCCGCGUGAGUGAUGAAGGCCUUCGGGUUGUAAAGCGCUGUCUUUUGGGACGAUAAUGACGGUACCAAAGGAGGAAGCCACGGCUAACUACGUGCCAGCAGCCGCAGUAA